rnacentral:lncRNA from 1 species
CAAGAAUUAAAAGUAAUUUUGCAGUUAUACAUGAUAGUUAUUUAAAUAUGUAAAAUAUAUAUAAGCAUAUCUUGCUUUAUAGUAUUUUGAUAAUAUCACACUACAGUUAUAUUGUAUGUUUUUAUUUUAUAUUUCAAAAGGAAAAUUAUCUUUAACUAAUCACAAAAUAAUACUUAGAAUAGAUAUAUAAAACAUAAAUUAAGAUACAGGUAGCUGGCCUAGAACCCUUCUGAAAAUCUGGAAGUUUGAGUUCCAGAAUUGAACCUGGUUCCUCCAAGGUAGUGAGUGAGUGCUUUACCACGUGGCCAGUUUUUAAGCACAAGCAACGUUAGACAUUUAAUGAAUUAUAGUGUAAAUGUUUUAUGUCACUAUUUUUUGCACAAUGUUAUGUUAAUGUAUAUUUUUAUAUACAUUAACAAAUGAAAAAGCCUGUGAUUUGCUUUACAGUGAUAGUUUGGAAUGUAACUACCAUAAUAAUAUGGUAUGCCUGUAUAAUAUCAGCUUUAAUCAUAACAGUGGAAUAUAGUUUUAAUGUCAAAUAUGGCAUUUUAAUAAAAAUAUGUUUAUUUCAAGAAAAUAUAUAUUGUGAAUAUAUUACUUUAGUUCUAAAAUAUUUAUUUUCAUUGUAAGUCAAAAUUGUUUUUGUUUUAUAGUUAACUUAUAUUAUAUAUAUAAAUCAAAUCACUAUACUCUGAUUGCUCUUUGCUCUUC